CUAAAAUAAAAUAGAAAACCAAAUAAAAAGUUAAAAUUAAGAAUAUAAAAUAAAUAAAAAUUAUAGUUUCGAAACUUUGAUUUACAUAUUGUAAUCAUUAAAGAAUGCUAAUGGGGCGUCAUUGUAAUGGUCAGGAUUUUCGGAUAAAAGUUUCGAAGUUUUAACGCUUCCAUCAGGACAUAUAGCAAAAAUAUCGGUAAAUGUCCCACCUCUGUCUAUGCCGAAUUUAAAUUUUCCGCCGGAGCCAUCGACAUUUUUAUUCGAAAUUGUAUUUGAUAUUUUGUCCGAUUUCAUGUUGUCGUUUAAAGUAUGAUUUAGAAGAAAAAUUAACAGUAUAAAUUUUAAUAAAUAUGUUUUUUACUUCUUUGAUGUAAAAAAAAAAUACUAUAAAUUUGUAAAUAAAUGUUUUUUUUUA